rnacentral:rRNA from 1 species
CAAUAGCGUAUAUUUAAGUUGUUGCAGUUAAAAAGCUCGUAGUUGGAUUUCGGAUGGGACUUGCCGGUCCGUCGUUUCGAUGUGCACUGGCCAGUCCUAUCUUGUUGUCGGGGACUAGCUCCUGGGCUUCACUGUCCGGGACUAGGAGCUGACGAGGUUACUUUGAGUAAAUUAGAGUGUUCAAAGCAAGCCUACGCCCUGAAUACAUUAGCAUGGAAUAACACGAUAGGACUCUGGCUUAUCUUGUUGGUCUGUGAGACCAGAGUAAUGAUUAAGAGGGACAGUCGGGGGCAUUCGUAUUUCAUUGUCAGAGGUGAAAUUCUUGGAUUUAUGAAAGACGAACUUCUGCGAAAGCAUUUGUCAAGGAUGUUUUCAUUAA